UCAACUUGCUGCCUGUCAGAAAAGUAACAUAUACCCCUUAUCAAAUUCAAGACUCCACACCAUGUUUACAUAUGAGGCCAAAGAGAUAUGUUCUGCCUUAUCCUGGUGAAGAUCAGAAAGAUGCCCAUAAAAUUUUCCAGGAUGUAGGGCUGAAGGUGGCAACAAACUUGCAAAUAAAAGUGCCCUCCUGCCUCAGAUUUAAGGGAAGAGAAUAUCAUUUAGGUUACAGUGGGUUUGGUGUUCAGUAUUCAAGAGUGAAUGCAAUGGCUGCGCCAGACAGAAUAGCUAUGAGCGGGCCUCCAGGGCUUGGAGGAUCCCUCGCUCCCAGCGCUGAACCAAUCGAGACAGUCCGCACUUUCUUCCCAGAGACUUGGAUAUGGGACCUGGUGGA